GUCCCUAGCGCAAUGGAUAACGCGUUGGAUUUCUAAUCCAAAGGCGGUGGGUUCGAAUCCUACCUGGGAUG
rnacentral:tRNA from 1 species